rnacentral:lncRNA from 1 species
GGAAGACUCUGAACCGGUGAGAGAAAAGGAAGCCAACUGUCUUGGGACCUAGUCCUCAGGAAGUGUCCUUGGGCACAGAUGAGAUAAAGACACAGAGCACAGAAAGAGGUUACUUUCUCUGGCUUGGGGACCAGGAAGGGAAGCAUGCUCAUGCAUUGUAGCAAGUCCUGGAAGAGAAGAAAACUCAGGCUGCUGAAAUCAGCUUGCUCUUUGGUAUCAAAAGGGCAGCUCCAUCGUCGGAAGUCUGAGCGCCUUCAUUUUCUGGCUUAUCCUCCACAAACCAGGACCAAUGCCAUGAUAUGGGUUCUUAGGAAAACUGCACUGAAGAAGGAAAAGGAAGGAAAGAUGGAGUCAGAUUAGCCGGGACUGUGGAUGGUGAUGAACCUCAACCGGAGUCGUUCUGUGCAACUGAAUGAUGGCCACGUCAUGCCGAUGCUUGGGUUUGGUACUCCUGCUUCUGAUGAUAUAGGUAGAACCCAGGGGACCAGAGGGUUGGCCAUGAACAGCCUUGGGAGGGUGGUCAGCAGACAUACACCCCUCAUGCACCCUGGGUG